UACGUAGGGCGCAAGCGUUAUCCGGAAUUACUGGGCGUAAAGCGUGCGCAGGCGGUUUUGUAAGUCUGACGUGAAAUCCCCGGGCUCAACCUGGGAAUUGCGAUGGAGACUGCAAGGCUUGAAUCUGGCAGAGGGGGGUAGAAUUCCACGUGUAGCAGUGAAAUGCGUAGAGAUGUGGAGGAACACCGAUGGCGAAGGCAGCCCCCUGGGUCAAGAUUGACGCUCAUGCACGAAAGCGUGGGGAGCAAACAGG
rnacentral:rRNA from 1 species